UAAAACUGACUAAAUAAUUAUUUCAUAAUAAAUACUAUUUCUAAACCAAACCCAUGGUUAAUAGUAUAUAUCCCAACAGUUCCCGCAUUCAUUCAAUUACCUGCCUUGGAUAUGGCUUCCAGAGGUCUCAAAAAAAAUUCACAAGUUCUCAAUUCUUUACAACCUAGCUCAAGGAUUUUCUAAGUCUCCUUCAGGUUUCGAAUUUCUGGAUCACUGCUUGAGCUGAAGAUCAUUUCAUUCGAAGGGGUAAAAGCAGAGGGAACAGCUUUCCGGAUGUGGAUGGUCAUAUUCUGUUGUAUUUCUUCUACUAUGUGAUCUCUAUUCAGGGUUUCUACUUCCUCUUCUUAUUUUUUUGGUUACUGAUAUGGGUUUUUUUUGGGGGGUGGGGGGAACUUUUAUACUGAGAAUCGAAGACAAUGGAAGCAUCCACACACUACUGACAUAACAAGUUUGGCUAUAGUCCGUAAAUCUCAGAUUUUGGCCCUGUUAGGUGACAACUAAUGGUAGUUGAGUUAAUACUCCAUUGAACAGAUCCUCUAAAAACUUGUUCUGCUGCUGUUGCAAUCUGAUUGUCUUCUAUCAGGUCUCUGAAUCUUUAAAAUGCCUAAUUAUUCCUCUUUACCUUUAUAAAUCUGUGAAACAACUUGGUGUUCCCCUCUCCUUUAUCUAACCAAUUUAUGUUGUCCUUUUGUCUGGGAUAUAAAUUUCUCGCAUUUUCCUAUUCCCGAAAGUUCAGCUUAUGAAGAGAAGAAGUUUCUCUUCUAAGGAAAUGGAAUAGUACUAUUUUCUGACAGCAUAUAUGAUAAUAUGGUUUUUCUCCAUAUAAGGCUGGUUAUGACUCUAAUCAUUGACACUUUGUUGAUGUUGCUAAGACUAUUUUGUGUAGUUUAUGUAGAGCGAAUACAAGCCUGGUUAUGACUCUAAUCCUUUUUUUGCAAUGCCCACUUGGAAGCUUUCUUUUGAUUCUAGGGUGUCGUUCUGUUUUUAUUUGUAUUCUAUUUUUAAGUUUCUUUCCACAAUGAAAUGGAGAAAAAUUGAAUCACAACAAAGUGGAGAUGACAUUGAAUCUGUAGAUGCAUUUGCAUCUGUCAUGGGACCUGAACAUCCAGGAUGCCUGAGAUUGUUGGAUGGGGGUUAUGAAAAAACUGUUUUGAGCGGAAUACAAUUUGAACCCUCUUUUAGUGUUCUAAUGAUCUCAUGCAAAAACUAGAAGAGCGGAUGCAUCAAAAGCUAGAGGAAGAAAAAGCAACUAUGCGACAAGAGAUAGUGAGUUGACAACGUCAGCAUUUGAGUCCAGGAGUACAAAUUGACCCUGCACUCUGAUUUCAAGAGUACAAGUGACGACGGGUACAGAGCAGAAUAGGAAGAAACUCGGAAAGGAAAGGGGAGCUCCGGCUGGAAAUUUAACCUUUUCCUAUAAAGCUCUUAUGCAACUAGACAUUGGGAAUGCAUCUGGUGUCAGAAACACAUAUAGUCAGAGAGGCCAUAAUUUAUACGUCUCUUUGUUAAGGGAAUAUAACAAUAUUCGUUUGUUUUCUGUUUAGUGGAGAUGAGGAGGGAGUGUGCCAUUGAUGAAGGAUGAGAACAUGGUCAAUGCACGGCCAGGUUGAUAGCUUGGAACAAAAUGUCCUGCUCCUCUUACGGUCACGAAUGUCAAGUUCUGGUAUUCUACUGCAUAACCACCAACCUUAAAAGAAAAAGUAUUAUAUGAAAUAAUUAAUUCAUAUGCAUACAUGAGAUUUUUGAAAGAGAUUGUAGAGGGAAAGAAUAAUGACUACUUCGUUACCUCGCCCUGGAAGAACCAAGGAUACCAUGGUGUUUUGACUGGUGUUUUGAUUUUGUCUAUAGCAUAUCUACUUGUCGUCACAGGCAAAAUAUGGUCUACAUCUCCACUGAAAUUGUAACAAAAAAAAGGCUCGAGUAAAAUGUUAUUGUUUCGAAAUAGCUAAAAUUUCAGAAUUGCUUUUGUGGUGACUGCUUCAUUGCUUGAUUUACUUACCUAUAAAUCAAAACCCUAAUGCCAUUUUGCAUGAGUUCUUGACAGAUUGGUAGCAUAGUAUGCGGGGAGUCCUGCCAAGAGCCUUGUAUGUAACCACUGCACAAGGGAGAAUUGAAGCAAGUGAAUUUAAACCUAAAGGAAGAAAAUCAGCCUUCUUGAUUUGAAGAAGGAAAAUGUUCUAAAAUAUCACAGUAUGUGUACUUACUUGCAAGAAUCCCAGGAAUGGGGUAUAUCUUUGACAUUAAGUGCCUUUUGUACUCCAACAGUGUUUAGGUAAUUGUCUACGUAAUCAGCCGAGCAUGGAUCAAAUCCAUCUAUCUGUUAUAAGCAAAAAGAAAUAGUUAUGGUAUAAAUUUAAUAAAGGUAUGUAAAAUCUACUGGGAAGAGUACUGCUUGUCAUUGGGGUGCAGAAUCUGCUGUUUUGCAUGGUCUUUUUCUUCUUCUUUCUUUUCUUUCUCACCAUGAUUCUCAGCUUAAUUUGGGACACUUGAAUUUAUAUUACUACUUAUUAAAAUUGGUAUAAGUACUCGGUGCAAAUAUUUUCUUUUUGUCAAGAAUGAAUGAGCAGUUUAGCCAGGGAACUUACAGGAAGGGAAAAAUAGGCAGAGGAGUUGCACAAUUGAGAAUAUAUGUUAUAGGUGUAUAUAUUGCCUUGAGAUGAAUCUGCUUGGCCUGUGUACUUGUUACAAGCUUCUGUGGUAGAGGUUUCUGCGGAGAAGUUGCAAUUCGAGACAAUUCCUUCAUGGAUUUCAUCUGAUAUUAGUGCAUGUGUCCAAUAGAAGUCAUAGGAACCACUGGUCGCUGUUUCAUCAUCAAUGACACCAUUUCCAGUCUGAAACAAUGUCAUGUGCAUGUAAUUAAUAUGUAGACGAUAUAAUUUAGUGACUUAAUCAGGAGAAAGAGAAUUUGGUGAUCAUUUGAAGCUUAACUUACAGCUACUCCUUGCAAGUUAAUGACAAGGUUGGGUUCUGUUUUCAUGUGGGAUAAGACCAGCUGCGCAAGUUGAGGCACAUAGUGCCCAGCAUAACUCUCUCCAGUAAUGUAGAAAUCUCGGUGUUUAUAUUCUGGGAAUCUUUCCAUCCAAUUGACGAGAAAGGUGAAACUGUCUUGUCUAGUCUUUUCAUCUCCAGUUAUAUAAUCCGAUGAUGUGUUAGAGUAAGAGAAACCAACACCGGCAGGAGAUUCUAAAAAGAGGAUGUUUGCCACUGCUUUAAAGUCACAAAAUUAUUGUCAUUGUUAUUUACGUGUUUCUUAUUAAUUACUAUCAAUUGUGAUGACAGAUUUUGCAGAAGAGAGGUGAUUAAGUAUUACCGUUAUUCCAAGCAAAUGGGUUGAGCCACAAGGUUUUUCCAUCUUUAUUGACACGGAAUGGUCCGAGUUCCAUCAUUGCUCCAGCCCCAAGCGACGAACAACCAGGUCCUAAUCAUCAAGUACAUACAAAACAACAAAGGAAACAUGGUUGUUUCAAAGGGGAUAAAACGAAGGAUAUAUAUUAAGGAGUUUGUCGGCUUCCAUAUUUUUACGUCGUUGUUCGAUCAGACAGGACGGCUGAUAGAGAAAUGAGAUAAAGUUAAUAUUUAUUUGAUAAAAUAGAUUUUUGAGUCUUUCUCAGAAGAAGAUGAUUCAGUGAUGAUGAAUUAGGUUAUUUGGCGAGAAGAUUCUGAGGACAGAGAAAUUAGGAAAAGAAAAAAGGUGUCCAAAGAUUUAAAUGGUUCCUCCUUGAAUAAAAAGAAAUAUCAAAUUGGUCCCAGAAGAAAAAACGAUUCAAAAAAUGCAAUAUAUAGUAUUUGUAUUAGAUCCUUAGAUAUUCUUUUAUGUAUUUAAGUAGCUCGGAUCUAGUAUUUCAAAAUAAUAGGGAAUUUAUGUUUACUCUUUUCUCUCAAGCUUGAUCCAUGGGGGGUUGAUCUA